CAGUCGCCGCGGGAAUACAGAGGGUGCAAGCGUUAAUCGGAAUUACUGGGCGUAAAGCGCGCGUAGGUGGUUUGUUAAGUUGGAUGUGAAAUCCCCGGGCUCAACCUGGGAACUGCAUCCAAAACUGGCAAGCUAGAGUAUGGUAGAGGGUGGUGGAAUUUCCUGUGUAGCGGUGAAAUGCGUAGAUAUAGGAAGGAACACCAGUGGCGAAGGCGACCACCUGGACUGAUACUGACACUGAGGUGCGAAAGCGUGGGGAGCAAACAGGAUUAGAUACCCUUGUAGUCCCUGUCUCUUAUAC
rnacentral:rRNA from 1 species